CAGGAUUAAUGGGGACAAAUGAAAUUUCGUGCAGCCCAAGCAGGUACCCCAAGCUGGUGGAGAAGUGAACGAGUGAAAGAGGACAUCGGCGGGGGGCAGAAGGAGGGGAGACAGCCCCGCAGAGCAGGCCGAGCAAAGAAGCCCUUGCAAAGGAGCUGGCUGUUUCGCCUCACUCCGUUUUGGUGUCUGGCAGAACUUCUCCACCAGACCUCCCGUCCUGCAAGCUCCCUUCAGCCUCCAGCUUUGCAGCUGAGGUCCUUAUGUGGAGUUUGUUAUGAAAAUUUAAAACCUGCAGAACAGCUGAAAGACCUCCGCAGUGAGCACCACACGCCCACCACCUUGUGCCACCGUGACGUUUUGUUGGGUGCUGUGUCACAGUCUCUCCAACUCUCCGUCCCUCUCUCCGUCCGUCCACCCCUCUUAUUUUCGGACGCCCUCCUCAGUGCGGUGCAGGCAUCCGUGCCCGUCUAGGCCAGCACUUCCGCAUCACGUCGUUAACAGAGUUCAAUGUUUGUCACAGCUGUUUGUCUCUCUUGAGGUGAGCUUUACACACGAUGACACACGCGAAUCUCAGGUGUACCAUGUGUGAGUUCUGAUAAUGCCCGCACCCAUCGAGGGACCGAGCAUGGUGAUGACUCCAGAAAGACCCCUCAUGCCGCUUCCCAGUGAAUCCCCACCCCACCCCACCCCACAGCGUUCUGAGAUUGCCUCCCACAGGUUGGUCUUGCCUG
rnacentral:lncRNA from 1 species